rnacentral:misc_RNA from 1 species
UGUAGGUGACGUCCAGACAAAGUAGCCCCCAGGCCUCAAAACUCUAUCAACUUCAACCAAGAAGGCACCAUCGUUCUUCUCCCAGUCGACCCCACAUCUUGCACAAUGCAACAUAUCAAAGGAGAGGUACGGAAAUGGCAAUUGUUUUACUGAAAAUGAGGCAAUUAUCGCAGGAAGUCCUCUCUCAAGAGUAAGUUGAACUUGGCUACCCG